rnacentral:rRNA from 1 species
CCUGCGAAGGUGUGCUGUGAGGCAUGCUGGAGGUAUCAGAAGUGCGAAUGCUGACAUAAGUAACGAUAAAGCGGGUGAAAAGCCCGCUCGCCGGAAGACCAAGGGUUCCUGUCCAACGUUAAUCGGGGCAGGGUGAGUCGACCCCUAAGGCGAGGCCGAAAGGCGUAGUCGAUGGGAAACAGGUUAAUAUUCCUGUACUUGGUGUUACUGCGAAGGGGGGACGGAGAAGGCUAUGUUGGCCGGGCGACGGUUGUCCCGGUUUAAGCGUGUAGGCUGGU